GAUGAACGCUGGCGGCGUGCCUAAUACAUGCAAGUCGAGCGAACGGACGAGAAGCUUGCUUCUCUGAUGUUAGCGGCGGACGGGUGAGUAACACGUGGAUAACCUACCUAUAAGACUGGGAUAACUUCGGGAAACCGGUGCUAAUACCGGAUAAUAUUUUGAACCGCAUGGUUCAAAAGUGAAAGACGGUCUUGCUGUCACUUAUAGAUGGAUCCGCGCUGCAUUAGCUAGUUGGUAAGGUAACGGCUUACCAAGGCAACGAUGCAUAGCCGACCUGAGAGGGUGAUCGGCCACACUGGAACUGAGACACGGUCCAGACUCCUACGGGAGGCAGCAGUAGGGAAUCUUCCGCAAUGGGCGAAAGCCUGACGGAGCAACGCCGCGUGAGUGAUGAAGGUCUUCGGAUCGUAAAACUCUGUUAUUAGGGAAGAACAUAUGUGUAAGUAACUGUGCACAUCUUGACGGUACCUAAUCAGAAAGCCACGGCUAACUACGUGCCAGCAGCCGCGGUAAUACGUAGGUGGCAAGCGUUAUCCGGAAUUAUUGGGCGUAAAGCGCGCGUAGGCGGUUUUUUAAGUCUGAUGUGAAAGCCCACGGCUCAACCGUGGAGGGUCAUUGGAAACUGGAAAACUUGAGUGCAGAAGAGGAAAGUGGAAUUCCAUGUGUAGCGGUGAAAUGCGCAGAGAUAUGGAGGAACACCAGUGGCGAAGGCGACUUUCUGGUCUGUAACUGACGCUGAUGUGCGAAAGCGUGGGGAUCAAACAGGAUUAGAUACCCUGGUAGUCCACGCCGUAAACGAUGAGUGCUAAGUGUUAGGGGGUUUCCGCCCCUUAGUGCUGCAGCUAACGCAUUAAGCACUCCGCCUGGGGAGUACGACCGCAAGGUUGAAACUCAAAGGAAUUGACGGGGACCCGCACAAGCGGUGGAGCAUGUGGUUUAAUUCGAAGCAACGCGAAGAACCUUACCAAAUCUUGACAUCCUUUGACAACUCUAGAGAUAGAGCUUUCCCCUUCGGGGGACAAAGUGACAGGUGGUGCAUGGUUGUCGUCAGCUCGUGUCGUGAGAUGUUGGGUUAAGCCCCGCAACGAGCGCAACCCUUAAGCUUAGUUGCCAUCAUUAAGUUGGGCACUCUAAGUUGACUGCCGGUGACAAACCGGAGGAAGGUGGGGAUGACGUCAAAUCAUCAUGCCCCUUAUGAUUUGGGCUACACACGUGCUACAAUGGACAAUACAAAGGGCAGCGAAACCGUGAGGUCAAGCAAAUCCCAUAAAGUUGUUCUCAGUUCGGAUUGUAGUCUGCAACUCGACUACAUGAAGCUGGAAUCGCUAGUAAUCGUAGAUCAGCAUGCUACGGUGAAUACGUUCCCGGGUCU
rnacentral:rRNA from 1 species